AAAGAUCUUCUCUGUUACCUGUUGCACUUGAAGGACACUGUCAUGAGAAGACAACAAGCUGCUCUGAGGACCCUAGGGACCAUCACUAAGGAAUCUGUCCCACGUGAAAAACCCUGUCUUCAUCACCACUCUGGCUGCCUGGGGGCACGUGGCCUGAAGUCAGAGCGCACGUGGCCUGAAGUCAGAGCACCAGAGUCUGAAGCCUCUACCAAUAGCGACGUGUACAAUAAUGGUGUCACCUAAUCUUCCAAGCCCAUUUCAUCUAAACAUGGGAAUUCAUAAUGGUAUCUCC